AUUGUAGUGGCUGAUUUUAAAGCGGAAGAUUGUAAAUCUCCUCAUGGAAAUUUUCCCUACGCGC
rnacentral:tRNA from 1 species